rnacentral:rRNA from 1 species
GUGCCAGCAGCCGCGGUAAGACAGAGGUGGCUAGCGUUGUUCGGUAUCACUGGGCUUAAAGCGUGUGUAGGCGGAAGCGUAAGCAUUUUGUGAAAUCCCCCGGCUUAACCGGGGAAUCGCUUGAUGUACUGCGUUUCUUGAGGCAGGUAGGGGUGCGAGGAACUCUUGGUGGAGCGGUGGAAUGCGUAGAUAUCAAGAGGAACGCCGGUGGUGAAGACGUUGCACUGGGCCUGUCCUGACGCUGAGACACGAAAGCGUGGGGAGCGAACGGGAUUAGAUACCCUAGUAGUCC